CUAACAUGUUAAAGUGGACAACGCGAUGGCGUUUGAAGCGAACGGUACUGGGUUCGAGUCACAGUGUGAACA
rnacentral:tRNA from 1 species